CAGUCAAAUUGGCUACGUCAUACAGCUCAACCCACUGUAAGAGUUACACGUUACAGACCCUGGUGGUGGAGGUGACAGCCACUCCUGGUGCCUCAAUCAGACAAGCCCAGGGCUGUGACGUGGUGACAAAUGAUGGGAAAAAAGAGCCCCUGGCUCGCUCAGCACGUGUUUUGUUUUGGCAUCGGCGGAGAACAGAUGACUCACGUGCACCCCAGAGAUGCGGUUGUCAGGGCGUCCUCUUUGUAAAGGCUGUGUGACGCUGUGAGAAUCAUAGCUGUCUGCAGACUAACACUUUGCCUUCAAUUUUUAAUGGACAAGAGGACUUUGCGUUGGAGUCCGUGCCGAUUUGGGAAGUGUGGAGGCUCCCAUCCCAACGCCUGUGCCCUCCCGCGUCUCUGUGCACCUGUGGAUCUGCUUGACCCGCUCAGCACCGGGGGUCUCAGUGACAAGGUGGAGGCCAGAGGUCUAACAGCCGUGGGUGGAAAUAGCAAAAUACAGAAGAAUGAAAAAUGAGCAGAGAAGAAUGUGCAGUUGGAAGUGAGGCAGAUCCGUACGGUACCCUCGUCCAUCCAUCACUAAUGUUCCAGGAGGCUGGCUGGAGGCCUGACGGAGGUGCACCGAGGUUCAAGAUAGAAGGAAAAAUAAAAACGAAAGAAGAAUGGCUGCAGCACACCUGUGUUGGCAACUGUCAAGCCCUCCGUCCUGACAUUAGUUGGAUCAUCUGCUGAACGGAGGCUCUGAUGGAAAACGCAAUGACAGGAGAUGCCUGGGAAGGGCAGAUGCCUCCCUGCCUGUCAACAGUGAUGACAGUGACACCUGAGGAGGCACCUUUUAUUCCACACAAACAGAUGGCUUCAAACACAUGCCACAUACUGUCAGAUCUCUUAUGCUCACCUCUGAGCAUUUAGGCCAGCUUGAAAAAUCAAAAAUUAAAAUCCACACACAAAGAGCACUUCCUGAGGCUGAGUCACUAAGCUGAAAGCAAUUAUCACCCGAUUUUAGGUGUCUGCCUGCUGUUCUCUUAAGUGACCUGCUCUCUGAAAGGAAUGUUCAGGUGAGGAAGAGCCAAACCUUUUGAAAAAUACUCCUCUUUUGGUUUUCCACUGGUUACAAAAGAGACAAAAAAGAACAACAAAAGAUAAAUAAGACAAGUUAAAAAGCCACAUUCAUUGGGCGUAUCCAUCCUCUUACUGUGAGAGGAAAUGAGUGUCCAGGGAAAUUUCUAUUCAGGUUCACACCAUCAUAUUAGAGAAAAACAACGGAAAACUUGCAUCCAAGUGUUUGUGUGAAGUGAUAUCAAUCUAGGAUUGAGGGAUAUGAGUGGUCAAUUUUUUAAAAUAUUGUCCCCAUUUUCAGAGGAAUCAGAUUCGACAUGUGUUACGAGUUUCUCUCUUCUCUCAUUUGGAAUUUCAGUCAAUUCCAUUGUGAAAGGUCAAAUUGCACUCAGCCAAGCAAACACCUAACUAAACGGUUAAGGGAAUCGUCCAUAUUUCUUAAAGGACCAUCCAUAAACAGCUCCAGUUAGCUACAUUCUUCUGUUUUGAAUUAUAAACAAAGAAGUUGAAAUUCUGCUCUUUCUGGGAAGAAAGCCUCCAAAUUGCAUCUGGGAGGAGAGGGAAGCCUGUGUUCCAGCUACAGCAUAUGAAAUGGGGUCUCUGACUCACUGAGAUGAGAGGUGAGGGGGAGGGAGCAAUCCUGGUUCCAAGACCACAGACUCCUGCCUUUCUUAACACAUUUCCUUUUUAGGUUCUUUUGAAUUCAUUUUCUGUUUGUAUUUAGGACCAGUUCCAGAGUCUUUAAGUGAUUUUUUAAAUAAGUAAUUUUCAUCAAUUUUACUGGGGGAUAAGGCAGCAAAGCACAUCCCACUGUCAGGCUGGAAUUUGAUCCCUGGUCUGAUUUAUUUUUAAAGAUAUUUAUUCAAUCACAAGAUCCAAAUCUCUACAAUAAACAUCUCAUUUCUCUAACCUUUCCACCAAACACUCCUUAACAUUUUCCCUUAAACACUCAUUUUUCAACUGAAUUUAAGAACAGUUUGUUGAACAGAGUAAACAGAUUAUAGUGUGAUAAACUAUUCUUGGUUAGUAACUGAUAAAUAGCUGUCUACUUAUGUUCUUGGUGUGAUAUUAAAAUCUAAUUAAAUUUAAUUGGAAAUUAAUCUUAAAUUCUAAUUAAAAUCAGAAUAUGGGUCCAAAUAAAUGGGGUAUUAACUAAAUGUGUGUCCCUGGGGGAAUCUGCAGUAAACUUUCUUGAUCUCAGUUCCUUUAACUGUAAAAUAGCAAUGUUAAAAAUCUGUGACAUUUUCACUGUAGCUUUAAUUUCUGCAUUGUGAGUGUACUUUGUAGUAGUUUUUAUUGGAAAUAAAAACUAUUUCUAAAUCCUGGGGAAAAAAUGUUAAAGUUCUCAGGUCAGCCCUUGUAAGGCUCUGGAGAGUGGAAUCACACAGGUUGUUAGCAUAAGAAGCUGGAAAAUGAUGAGAAUAAAUGUAAGAGGAGGAGCUGCUGAAAGCCCACAGAGCCGGACGCGCUGGCCUUGCAGUCUGGGAUGUAUUUCUUAGUCUAUAAGGAGAAUUUGGCUGCCAAGACUGGAAACAAUCAUCUUGUCAUCAGUUCUGUGAGCCUGGAGUAGACAAAAUCAUCAAAGGUGCUCAGCAUUUUAUCAAUGAGGUGGCUUCACACAUUCCUUAGUGUUCGUAAGCACGGAAGGGCGUUUUUCUAAAUCUCAGGAUCUCAUUUUAAGAACUGAUCAUUGAAUCUCUCAAGGGCCACACAUAAUGAAGUGUAGUUAAGACCAAGUUAAUGCCGGUACUUAAUGUCAGUGAGAAAUUAAUUGCCCACAGUCUUCACCAUAGAUCAAAAUAGAAGUGGCUUUCAGAUAAAUAUGAGCUCCUUGUAAGAACUUGUUUAAGUUGA